CGUCACGCUCCAGACAGUUGGAAGUAUCUGCCAUUCAAGGGUAUAAAAUGGUCACCGUUGCGUUCUGUAAGCAUAGCUCUAACCGAAGUCACCGAAUUCAUUUCAAGAAUGAGUUUCCACAAGGCUUUGCGAUCGGCCAUUUAUGCAGCUGCAAUACUUCACACGAUCAUUAUUUGCUUCAGUGAAUCGUCCAUUUUCCCUGAGGUUCUGGAUCCCAAGUGUAAUAACGAACGGUGUGGCCUUUACAACAAUUUCACAUGUUCUAACAGCACUUGCAAUUGCACCUACACGGAUAACCCAAAUAACGGCUCGUGCAUUGACGUGUCGGAUUACGAUUACGAAUGAAGCUACGCCGCAGCAUUUUUAUUGAAAUAAAGCUGUGAAUGU